UCUAGGGAGAUUUCUCUAGAACGUCGACCGGGCUGUUGGUUCACUUCGGUGAGCCAUGCGGAUCUACUUCGGUAGUCCGAUUUACGCUGCUCAGUUUUGAGAGACCACCUCCGGAGAACCCGGAGGUGCGCCUCGGUGGACCUUGAAAACUGCACAGUGCCAAUAUUUCGGGACUCACUUCGGUGGGUUCCGAGGGUAAUUGAUUUAACGAUUCACACCUCUUGUAGGAGUGAGUCGCUCACCGUCAAGAUAUUAAGAGUUUACGGUGGAUGCCUUGGCACCAGGAGUCGAAGAAGGACGUGGACGGCUGCGAUAAGCCGCGGUGAGGCGCUGAACAGCCUUUGACCCGCGGAUUU
rnacentral:misc_RNA from 1 species